GUGUCAGCAGCCGCGGUAAUACGAACUGUGCAAACGUUAUUCGGAAUCACUGGGCUUAAAGGGUGCGUAGGCGGUCGCCCAAGUCAGGUGUGAAAUCCCCCGGCUCAACCGGGGAACAGCGCUUGAAACUAGGUGACUUGAGUGAGGUAAGGGUACGCGGAACUUCUGGUGGAGCGGUGAAAUGUGUAGAUAUCAGAAGGAACGCCGGUGGCGAAAGCGGCGUACUGGGCCUUGUCUGACGCUGAGGCACGAAAGCUAGGGAAGUGAACGGGAUUAGAUACCCCGGUAAUCCUAGCCGUAAACACUGAGCACUGGAGGGGAGGGGUUUCGGCCUUUUCCCUCGUAGCGAAAGCGUUAAGUGCUCCGCCUGGGGAGUAUGGUCGCAAGGCUGAA
rnacentral:rRNA from 1 species